CUCGAGAGCUGCUUCCUGUGCCUGUGACUUUCACUGAUGUGAAGCAGCAACUGGAGUAUGAAUGCCCAGUAUCCCUAAGUGCUUUCUACAGGCCUUUGUCUAUCAAUCACAGGAUGUAACAGAGACAGAUUGGUAUAAGAAGCACUUUGAAUCAGCCAAAUGUCUGGAGACAGAGACCAAACACACCUGUGAGCUUCGUAACUGGGAGAAAAGACUACAAAUGACAGCAGCAGAAGACAGUGUGGACAAGUUGUGUGCUUUGGCCCAGGAGCACC